GACGAACGCUGGCGGCGUGCUUAACACAUGCAAGUCGAACGGAAAGGCCCUGCUUUUGUGGGGUGCUCGAGUGGCGAACGGGUGAGUAACACGUGAGUAACCUGCCCUUGACUUUGGGAUAACUUCAGGAAACUGGGGCUAAUACCGGAUAGGAGCUCCUGCUGCAUGGUGGGGGUUGGAAAGUUUCGGCGGGUGGGGAUGGACUCGCGGCUUAUCAGCUUGUUGGUGGGGUAGUGGCUUACCAAGGCUUUGACGGGUAGCCGGCCUGAGAGGGUGACCGGCCCCAUUGGGCCUGAGGUACGGCCCAGACUCCUACGGGAGGCAGCAGUGGGGAAUAUUGCACAAUGGGCGGAAGCCUGAUGCAGCAACGCCGCGUGCGGGAUGACGGCCUUCGGGUUGUAAACCGCUUUCGCCUGUGACGAAGCGUGAGUGACGGUAAUGGGUAAAGAAGCACCGGCUAACUACGUG
rnacentral:rRNA from 1 species